AUUGAACGCUGGCGGCAUGCCUUACACAUGCAAGUCGAACGGCAGCACGGGUGCUUGCACCUGGUGGCGAGUGGCGAACGGGUGAGUAAUACAUCGGAACAUGUCCUGUAGUGGGGGAUAGCCCGGCGAAAGCCGGAUUAAUACCGCAUACGAUCUACGGAUGAAAGCGGGGGACCUUCGGGCCUCGCGCUAUAGGGUUGGCCGAUGGCUGAUUAGCUAGUUGGUGGGGUAAAGGCCUACCAAGGCGACGAUCAGUAGCUGGUCUGAGAGGACGACCAGCCACACUGGGACUGAGACACGGCCCAGACUCCUACGGGAGGCAGCAGUGGGGAAUUUUGGACAAUGGGCGAAAGCCUGAUCCAGCAAUGCCGCGUGUGUGAAGAAGGCCUUCGGGUUGUAAAGCACUUUUGUCCGGAAAGAAAUCCUUGGCUCUAAUACAGUCGGGGGAUGACGGUACCGGAAGAAUAAGCACCGGCUAACUACGUGCCAGCAGCCGCGGUAAUACGUAGGGUGCAAGCGUUAAUCGGAAUUACUGGGCGUAAAGCGUGCGCAGGCGGUUUGCUAAGACCGAUGUGAAAUCCCCGGGCUCAACCUGGGAACUGCAUUGGUGACUGGCAGGCUAGAGUAUGGCAGAGGGGGGUAGAAUUCCACGUGUAGCAGUGAAAUGCGUAGAGAUGUGGAGGAAUACCGAUGGCGAAGGCAGCCCCCUGGGCCAAUACUGACGCUCAUGCACGAAAGCGUGGGGAGCAA
rnacentral:rRNA from 1 species